UUAACUCAAAGUUGUAUGGAGUUGGAACGUUUGCCUACGUUUGCCGCUAGGGGCGCUGUUCCAACGGCGUACUUUGAGUUA
rnacentral:pre_miRNA from 1 species